AUUAUUACAUGACUUAUGAGUUCUUAUAGAUCCCAAGGUAUAAUUUUAUUAUUCGUAAUUUAAUCUUGCAGAAUAAAUGCAAGUAUUAAAAGUAUAAAGUAUAAAUAAAGGUAUUGACCACAUAAACAGGCAACGUUUCUGAAAAAUUAAAAUGUUAGUUGAUCAAGUUCGUGGAAGAUUAAAUAUAAGAUUAUGUUAGACAUUUUACAUUUCUGACCGAAUGAAGGCGUUUGCUUUUUUGAGGAUCUGCCAUAGAUCUACUAGCCUACAUUUCAGCUAAUCUCCGCAAAACGCUUCAUGCCAUUCACGAAUCCUAAAAUGGAAAUCAAGCAUCAGUGAGGAUAGGUCAUCAUAGAAAGACUGACUUUUGGAAUGCCGACAAACGAAACGAAAAUAGGAAAAAUCGGAUCCAUAUUCUACGCUAAAAUUAUUCACAGGAAGUGUUAGUCUUUUUUAUUGUUUUUAUUUUUAGUCUUCUGAAACAAAAUGUCGCACCACCAAGGUGAAUACCCUCUCAUAAACAUAAAGGGAACCCAUCUGGCAGAAUAAUGACCCGCCCCAUCAACGGGGUGAUUUACACAGAGAGAGCAAGAAAAUAAAGGGGAGAGGAGCCUUUCUAUUACCAUAAACACACCCUCCCUCCCUGCUAGAGCUGCCCCAGUCAACUGUAAGUGCUGUUAUUGUGAAGUGGAAACGUCCAGGAGCAACAACACCUCAGCCGUUAAGCGGCCACACAAGCUCACAGAACGGGGCUGGCAAGUGCUGAAGUGCGCAGCGUGUAAAAAUAAUCUGUCCUUUGUUGCAACACUCACUACAGAGUUCCAAACAACCGCUGGAAAAAACAUCAGCACAAGAACUGUUCAUCAAAGGCUUCAUGAAAUGGGUAUCCAUGGCCGAGCAGCUGUACACAAACCUAAGGUCACCAUGCACAAUACCAAGCGUGGUCUGGAGUGGUGUAAAGCACACAACCAUUGGACUGUGGAGCAAUGGAAAUGUGUUCUCUGGAGUGAUGAAUCACACUUCACUGUCUGGCAGUCUGACGGAUGAAUCUGGGUUUGGCGGAAUGCAUGGUGCCAACUGUACUGGCCCAAAUAGUGCCAACUUUAAAGUUUGGUAGAGGAGCAAUAAUGGUCUGGGGGUGUUUUCAUGGCCCCUUAGUUCCAGUAAAGGGAAAUUUAAAUGCUACAGCAUACAAUGACAUUCUAGGGAAAUGUGCACUUCCAACUUUGUGGCAUCACUUUUGCGUAGGCUCUUUCCUGUUUCAGCAAGCUCCUGUGCACAAAAUCCAUAAAUAAAUGGUUUGCUGAGUUUAGUUGGGAUGAACUUGACUGGCCUGCCCAGAGCCCUGACCUCUACCCCAUCAAACACCUUUGGGAUAAAUUGCCAUGCUGACUGCAAACCAGGUCUUAUCGCCCAACAUCAGUGCCUAACCUCACUGAUAUGCUAGAGGCUGAAUGGAAGUGAAUCCCUGUAGCCAUGUUCCAAAAUCUACUGGAAAGUCUUCCAAGAAGAGUGGAGGCUGUUACAGCAGCAAAGGGGCUCCAGUUCCAUAUCAAUGCCCAUGGUUUUGGAAUGAGAUGCUCAACAAGUACAUAUGGGUGUGAUGUUCAGGUGUCCAUAUAAGUUGAACAAAGGCAUAACUUAAGUUCCAACCACCUGCUGUAGGCUUGGCUACUCCCAAAAGUAAAACCUAGCUAUAUCGAUACGAUCGUUUUCAUCAUUGUAUCUAUUGCUAUAGUUUAACAAUACUUAACUUGAGAUAUGAACCCAUAAUAUUGUGCACAAGAUAAAAGUGGAAUUGCCUUUAUAACCGUUAGCUAACAUUAUCAAGCUAGCAAGCUAGACUAGACUCUAGGUUAUUUGCAAACUACUGUGUAGCUAAUGUUAGGAUACAGAAAGUUUGUGCUGUAGGAGACAGACAGAUUUGUGUAUUCCAAAACCUCACGUGCAUGUGAGAGUCCGCCAUUGUUUUACAAAGACAACCAAUAAGACACAGUGGUAGAAAUUGCAGCCUAUAGGGCAACUCUGUAUAACAAACAACCAAUCAGAGUUCAUGCUGUAUUCUGCGCACAAAUUUGAAUAUAUGUAAAUGUAACUGUAUAAACUCCACAAACUCUAACAGUUGAAUUGAACAUUUUUGUGUGAAUCCCUGUUGCUGGCUUUCUGUAUAAUAAAUGCUUCCUGAUUUUUAAACACUAA